rnacentral:rRNA from 1 species
CCCCCCCCCUCACGGCCCCCGGCGCUCCUAGUACGCGUGGGUAACCUGCCCUGUACACACGGAUAACAUACCGAAAGGUAUGCUAAUACGGGAUAACAUAUGAGAGUCGCAUGGCUUUUGUAUCAAAGCUCCGGCGGUACAGGAUGGACCCGCGUCUGAUUAGCUAGUUGGUAAGGUAACGGCUUACCAAGGCAACGAUCAGUAGCCGACCUGAGAGGGUGAUCGGCCACAUUGGAACUGAGACACGGUCCAAACUCCUACGGGAGGCAGCAGUGGGGAAUAUUGCACAAUGGGCGAAAGCCUGAUGCAGCAACGCCGCGUGAGCGAUGAAGGCCUUCGGGUCGUAAAGCUCUGUCCUCAAGGAAGAUAAUGACGGUACUUGAGGAGGAAGCCCCGGCUAACUACGUGCCAGCAGCCGCGGUAAUACGUAGGGGGCUAGCGUUAUCCGGAAUUACUGGGCGUAAAGGGUGCGUAGGCGGUCUUUCAAGCCAGAAGUGAAAGGCUACGGCUCAACCGUAGUAAGCUUUUGGAACUGUACGACUUGAGUGCAGGAGAGGAGAGUGGAAUUCCUAGUGUAGCGGUGAAAUGCGUAGAUAUUAGGGAGGAACACCAGUAGCGAAGGCGGCUCUCUGGACUGUAACUGACGCUGAGGCACGAAAGCGUGGGGAGCAAACAGGAUUAGAUACCCUGGGUAGUCCACGCCGUAAACGAUGAGUACUAAGGUGUCUGGGGUUACCCCCUUUGGGGG